rnacentral:rRNA from 1 species
CGUGUGCUUACAAGUAGUCAGAGCCCGUUAAUGGGUGAUGGCGUGCCUUUUGUAGAAUGAACCGGCGAGUUACGAUUUGAUGCAAGGUUAAGCAGUAAAUGUGGAGCCGUAGCGAAAGCGAGUCUGAAUAGGGCGUUUAGUAUUUGGUCGUAGACCCGAAACCAGGUGAUCUACCCUUGGUCAGGUUGAAGUUCAGGUAACACUGAAUGGAGGACCGAACCGACUUACGUUGAAAAGUGAGCGGAUGAACUGAGGGUAGCGGAGAAAUUCCAAUCGAACCUGGAGAUAGCUGGUUCUCUCCGAAAUAGCUUUAGGGCUAGCCUCAAGUGAUGAUUAUUGGAGGUAGAGCACUGUUUGGACGAGGGGCCCCUCUCGGGUUACCGAAUUCAGACAAACUCCGAAUGCCAAUUAAUUUAACUUGGGAGUCAGAACAUGGGUGAUAAGGUCCGUGUUCGAAAGGGAAACAGCCCAGACCACCAGCUAAGGUCCCAAAAUAUAUGUUAAGUGGAAAAGGAUGUGGCGUUGCCCAGACAACUAGGAUGUUGGCUUAGAAGCAGCCAUCAUUUAAAGAGUGCGUAAUAGCUCACUAGUCGAGUGACACUGCGCCGAAAAUGUACCGGGGCUAAACAUAUUACCGAAGCUGUGGAUUGUCCUUUGGACAAUGGUAGGAGAGCGUUCUAAGGGCGUUGA